AUGAACGCUAGCGGCAGGCCUAACACAUGCCAGUCGAGGGGGAAGUUACUUUCGGGUGACUGAGACCGGCGUACGGGUGCGUAACGCGUAUACAAUCUGCCUUUCACUGAGGGAUAGCCCGAAGAAAUUUGGAUUAAUACCCCAUAGUAUAUAGGGACGGCAUCGUUUUUAUAUUAAAGCUUAGGUGGUGAAAGAUGAGUAUGCGUUCUAUUAGCUAGUUGGAGAGGUAACGGCUCCCCAAGGCGAUGAUAGAUAGGGGUUCUGAGAGGGAUGUCCCCCACACUGGUACUGAGAUACGGACCAGACUCCUACGGGAGGCAGCAGUGAGGAAUAUUAGACAAUGGUCGGAAGACUGAUCCAGCCAUGCCGCGUGCAGGAUGAAGGUCUUAUGGAUUGUAAACUGCUUUUGUAAGGGAAGAAUAAGGGCUACGCGUAGUUUGAUGACGGUACCUUACGAAUAAGCAUCGGCUAACUCCGUG
rnacentral:rRNA from 1 species